UCUUAUUGGUGGAUGCUGGGAAAGGUUGAAUCUUAUUGGUGGAUGCUGGGAAAGGUUGAAUCUUAUUGGUGGAUGCUGGGAAAGGUUGAAUCAUAUUGGUGGAUGCUGGGAAAGGUUGAAUCAUAUUGGUGGAUGCUGGGAAAGGUUGAAUCAUAUUGGUGGAUGCUGGGAAAGGUUGAAUCAUAUUGGUGGAUGCUGGGAAAGGUUGAAUCAUAUUGGUGGAUGCUGGGAAAGGUUGAAUCAUAUUGGUGGAUGCUGGGAAAGGUUGAAUCAUAUUGGUGGAUGCUGGGAAAGGUUGAAUCAUAUUGGUGGAUGCUGGGAAAGGUUGAAUCAUAUUGGUGGAUGCGGGGAAGGGUUGAAUCAUAUUGGUGGAUACUAGGAAAGGUUGAAUCUUAUUGGUGGAUGCUGGGAAAGGUUAAAUCUUACUAGUGGAUGCUUGGAAAGGUUAAAUCUUAUUGGUGGAUGCUGGGAAAGGUUGAAUCUUAUUGGUGGAUGUUAGAGAGAGAGAGAGAGAGAGAGAGAGAGAGAGAGAGAGAGAGAGAGAGAGAGAGAGAGAGAGAGAGAGAGAAUAA